rnacentral:RNase_P_RNA from 1 species
GACAGCUGCGCGUCAUGCAUCGAAAGGGAUUGAUGUGAGGAAAGUCCGGGCUUCUCAGGGCAAGGAUAACAGAUAACGUCUGCCGAGGGUGACCUUAGGGAAAGUGCAACAGAAAAUUACCGCCGUUUUUUACGGUAAGGAUGAAAAGGCGAGGUAAAAGCUCACCGGCGCAUUGGAGACUUUGCGGCCGUGUAAACCCUAUCCGAAGCAACACCGCACGUGAAAGCCGUUUGAUCGGCGGCGCGCCCUGCGUUUCACAGGUGGCACAGAGCUUUGCGGCGACGCAAAGACAAGAUAGAUAGCUGUCAGGGGUGUGAUAAGUCACACCUUCACAGAACCCGGCUUAUAGGUA